rnacentral:tRNA from 1 species
GCAGAAGUACUCAAGAGGCCGAAGAGGUGCCCCUGCUAAGGGUAUAGGUCGGGUGACCGGCGCGAGGGUUCAAAUCCCUCCUUCUGCGUCA